rnacentral:rRNA from 1 species
GACGAACGCUGGCGGCGUGCUUAACACAUGCAAGUCGAACGGAAAGGCCCUGCUUUUGUGGGGUGCUCGAGUGGCGAACGGGUGAGUAACACGUGAGUAACCUGCCCUUGACUUUGGGAUAACUUCAGGAAACUGGGGCUAAUACCGGAUAGGAGCUCCUGCUGCAUGGUGGGGGUUGGAAAGUUUCGGCGGUUGGGGAUGGACUCGCGGCUUAUCAGCUUGUUGGUGGGGUAGUGGCUUACCAAGGCUUUGACGGGUAGCCGGCCUGAGAGGGUGGCCGGCCAAAUUGGGACUGAGAUACGGCCCAGACUCCUACGGGAGGCAGCAGUGGGGAAUAUUGCACAAUGGGCGGAAGCCUGAUGCAGCAACGCCGCGUGCGGGAUGACGGCCUUCGGGUUGUAAACCGCUUUCGCCUGUGACGAAGCGUGAGUGACGGUAAUGGGUAAAGAAGCACCGGCUAACUACGUG